UGUCUCAACCUCCAGACGGGACAGAUGUGGCCUAGUGGCUGGAGAGGACAGGAGAUACGUCAGUAACCUUCAUAAAGGUCUGUGUUCUCUCCAUAUUCUCCUGUCUCAACCUCCAGACGGGACAGAUGUGGCCUAGUGGCUGGAGAGGACAGGAGAUACGUCAGUAACCUUCAUAAAGGUCUGUGUUCUCUCCAUAUUCUCCUGUCUCAACCUCCAGAUGGGACAGAUGUGGCCUAGUGGCUGGAGAGGACAGGAGAUACGUCAGUAACCUUCAUAAAGGUCUGUGUUCUCUCCAUAUUCUCCUGUCUAAACCUCCAGACGGGACAGAUGUGGCCUAGUGGCUGGAGAGGACAGGAGAUACGUCAGUAACCUUCAUAAAGGUCUGUGUUCUCUCCAUAUUCUCCUGUCUAAACCUCCAGACGGGACAGAUGUGGCCUAGUGGCUGGAGAGGACAGGAGAUACGUCAGUAACCUUCAUAAAGGUCUGUGUUCUCUCCAUAUUCUCCUGUCUCAACCUCCAGACGGGACAGAUGUGGCCUAGUGGCUGGAGAGGACAGGAGAUACGUCAGUAACCUUCAUAAAGGUCUGUGUUCUCUCCAUAUUCUCCUGUCUAAACCUCCAGACGGGACAGAUGUGGCCUAGUGGCUGGAGAGGACAGGAGAUACGUCAGUAACCUUCAUAAAGGUCUGUGUUCUCUCCAUAUUCUCCUGUCUAAACCUCCAGACGGGACAGAUGUGGCCUAGUGGCUGGAGAGGACAGGAGAUACGUCAGUAACCUUCAUAAAGGUCUGUGUUCUCUCCAUAUUCUCCUGUCUCAACCUCCAGACGGGACAGAUGUGGCCUAGUGGCUGGAGAGGACAGGAGACACGUCAGUAACCUUCAUAAAGGUCUGUGUUCUCUCCAUAUUCUCCUGUCUCAACCUCCAGACGGGACAGAUGUGGCCUAGUGGCUGGAGAGGACAGGAGAUACGUCAGUAACCUUCAUAAAGGUCUGUGUUCUCUCCAUAUUCUCCUGUCUCAACCUCCAGAUGGGACAGAUGUGGCCUAGUGGCUGGAGAGGACAGGAGAUACGUCAGUAACCUUCAUAAAGGUCUGUGUUCUCUCCAUAUUCUCCUGUCUCAACCUCCAGAUGGGACAGAUGUGGCCUAGUGGCUGGAGAGGACAGGAGAUACGUCAGUAACCUUCAUAAAGGUCUGUGUUCUCUCCAUAUUCUCCUGUCUAAACCUCCAGACGGGACAGAUGUGGCCUAGUGGCUGGAGAGGACAGGAGAUACGUCAGUAACCUUCAUAAAGGUCUGUGUUCUCUCCAUAUUCUCCUGUCUAAACCUCCAGACGGGACAGAUGUGGCCUAGUGGCUGGAGAGGACAGGAGAUACGUCAGUAACCUUCAUAAAGGUCUGUGUUCUCUCCAUAU